GCUGGUGGUCUGGUUGAAGUGCUCAGAUAAUUUGGGGAGACCCAUGGCAUGCUCUCUCAACAGUGAAGGUUCAAAAACACACAUGCCGGAAUGCUUAUAGAAUUCCUCGCCAUUUUUCCGCAUUCAUUGACACAUAAAUAAGUACAAGAAUCACUUCAAAAUAGUUUAAGGGUAAAGUUUAGAGAUUAAAUCAUUUGAGUAUGUUAGUUUGGUUCAAAUUUGACUGGGGGGGGGGUGAAGAAUGAGGCAAUCAUAUUAGGUCAAUUUUGAGUAAAUUGACAAUGUUUACAAGGAAUUAAUAGCGGUUAAGGUGUGAAAGUGUGAAAAACCAAGCUAAAAGCCCCAAGAAUACCUGAUUGCCACAAUGUCAAAGAGCAUAGUUGCAGACUAAGAAACAUCUAUUAGACCAUGUACAGUACUUGAGUCUUGUGAUAUUGCUUUUGUAUUAUACAAUAUACUGUAAACUUGCUGUUAACAUAUUAUAUUAUUAAUAUUCAUGGUUGUCAAAUAUCAUAAAAUCAACACACAAAAUUCACACACAAAGGUUUAAAAUAAUGUAUAUUGGUAUAAACGUUUAAUAAAAAUGCAUACAUACGUAACCCAUGGUCGGCAUGGAAUUUUGUCACUUGGCACAGUACUUUAAUGUUUUUUAAUGUUUGUCCCACAUUAAAAUAUAUUGAGUGACUUGAGUCAAUGACAGUGCAACUGUUCAUAUUAAAACGUUCUAAUCACAUUUACAUGCACAUUUGUAUUCAGUAGUAAUCUUUUCAGAAAGGUAUAUCAAAGUCCCAAAUCAAAUUCUUCACUGACAGUAUGUUAUUGACUCCCAAACGACAAAUAUUAUAAAACACGCUUCCAAGCUGAAAAGAAAUAUUUACUGUUGUCAGUCAGUGUUUAGACUCUUCUCUUUGAAUCUUGAUCUUCGACAAGUAUUGCUGUUGAUUAUAUUCCAUAUUUUUUUAAAGAAUAUCGCAGACUAUAUAUUUAUUUCCACUGUCAGUUGAAAUUAAGUUUAUCAUCAUAGUUUCAGUCGCAAAAGCUUCUAUCGCCCCUUUGCACGGCCAUGUUUGAUAAAAUCAAAGCGGCCUGCACCCCCGGUUUGAAAAGUUAAAUAUUCUGAAAUAUUCAAAAUUUGAAGCAUCACGUGACCAGCCUUUACCAGGGCCUUUGCUGCUUCGCCUCCUUCCUCAAUAGGCCCUGGGGACGAGGUUG